rnacentral:rRNA from 1 species
UACGGAGGGGACUAGCGUUGUUCGGAAUUACUGGGCGUAAAGCGCACGUAGGCGGACAUUUAAGUCAGGGGUGAAAUCCCGGGGCUCAACCCCGGAACUGCCUUUGAUACUGGGUGUCUGGAGGUCGAGAGAGGUGAGUGGAAUUCCGAGUGUAGAGGUGAAAUUCGUAGAUAUUAGGAAGAACACCAGUGGCGAAGGCGGCUCACUGGUCCGGUACUGACGCUGAGGUGCGAAAGCGUGGGGAGCAAACAGG